rnacentral:lncRNA from 1 species
AUGUAUAAUUUUUAUGCCAAGAAAGCACGAUAUCGAUCGGUUGGCAUAACGCGAUAUAUGUCAAGACCAGCGGGAGAAAAUGCUAUUGAGCUUUAGAGACUGUCGUUUCAAUGUUUUAGUAGCCACGGAUAUUUCUACUCACCGGACUUGAUGUUCCAAAUGUUGAUAUGGUGUGGUCGUACAAGCCAGGCUAGGCUGGAAAGAAAGGAAGACCGUUUUAAUUCAUUCAUCUCACCAAUCGUCUGAAGUGAAGGGAUCCAAGCGCAAAGUAGGAUGCAAAUUUUUGAAGGUAGCAUGAGAAACUUAUUAAUGUCACAUGUUCUGUGGUGUAUAUUCACUAUUAAGCUCCCUAAUAUCAUUGUUAAUGCUGAUUAAAGAAUUAACCUUUGUGGUUACCUGAAGACGUAUAAAUGGUUAUACCUGGAGACAAUGUGACUGCUGAUUUGUUACUUAUUACCCCAGUUGUUCAUGAACGAGGUGCAUUUUCAGAAAAAAAAAAAAAAAAAAAAACUAAAUUCUCAUUUUAUAAAUGCACAAGGAAGACCGAUACAAUUAUAAUUCAUACUAGAGGUGUAAAUAUGGGUGGUCUAGGCGGUUAAGUUAUUUACAGAAGCUAUCAAAUAUAUUUACAUAAGUUGUGUUACGUCAAAUAAGUUCACUCUCUGGUGUGGUUUAUUGUAAUAAUGAGUGUCACUUGACUCACUUCAUUUGGUGUGGUAAUACUGACCCAUGUCCCAAGGAAUGGAUUGAGUUAUAUUCAUCUAUUUUGCGAAAGCAACGGAAGAUGGGCCACAUAACUGUUGUCGAGCCUUCAUUGGGAAUUGUUGAAGUGCAGGUUAAAUCAUUUCUCGAAGAAGAAAGUUCAGAGGAGACUCCAGGUUUAUUUUCUUAAAAAUAGUUUGUAUUGCCAUCUUUUCUUUGGUAAGAAUAGUGUCAGCACACCAGACACCUGAGCUGAUGUUUUUUAUGCAACAUCUGCUCGAGAACGAGGUGUUCAGGUUAUUAUUGCUGGUGCUGGGGUGCAGCCCAUUUGCCAGGUAUGGUAGCUACCCUAACACCAUUACCCGUGAUUGGAGUUCCUGUACGCGCUUCAACAUUGGAUGGCCUUGACUCCCUUCUCUCCAUUGUGCAGGUAUGUAGAUAAAUUAUGUCAAAUUUUCUUAAGCAGGCCAUUUAUCUAAUAAUGACCGUGUUGGGUAUAGAGUCAAAACUGUUAAUGUUAUGGUACAUGUAGUCACAGGUUGGGUAAAUGCCAAACGGGUCGGGUUAGUGGUUCCAACUCGACCCGAACCCGUAAUUUUAGACGAACCCGAAAAUCGUAUCAUACAUAUGAACCCGAACACAACAUGUUCAACCCGAGUUUUUUAACUUUUUUCGCAAAUUAGUAUAUUAAAAUUA